rnacentral:ncRNA from 1 species
UGAUAGAGGUGCGAUUGCCAUAAGUAGCUUCGCUUAAGCGUCUGGAAGCGCGGAAGUGAAAGGGACAACCGCCGAAGGGUUUCGGAGUUCCUGUUUCCGGAAUUGCCUGGGUCGUCGGAGAAUAUCCGGCGGACUGUCAUUUCGAUGAAGCGCUAUG